AUACGUAGGUGGCAAGCGUUGUCCGGAAUUAUUGGGCGUAAAGCGCGCGCAGGCGGUCCUUUAAGUCUGAUGUGAAAGCCCACGGCUCAACCGUGGAGGGUCAUUGGAAACUGGAGGACUUGAGUACAGAAGAGGAAAGCGGAAUUCCACGUGUAGCGGUGAAAUGCGUAGAGAUGUGGAGGAACACCAGUGGCGAAGGCGGCUUUCUGGUCUGUAACUGACGCUGAGGCGCGAAAGCGUGGGGAGCAAACAGGAUUAGAUACCCUGGUAGUCCACGCCGUAAACGAUGAGUGCUAAGUGUUAGGGGGUUUCCGCCCCUUAGUGCUGCAGCUAACGCAUUAAGCACUCCGCCUGGGGAGUACGGUCGCAAGACUGAA
rnacentral:rRNA from 1 species